GAUGAACGCUCGCUCCAGGCUUAACACAUGCAAGUCGAGGGGCAGCAUGGUCUUAGCUUGCUAAGGCCGAUGGCGACCGGCGCACGGGUGAGUAACACGUAUCCAACCUGCCGUCUACUCUUGGACAGCCUUCUGAAAGGAAGAUUAAUACAAGAUGGCAUCAUGAGUCCGCAUGUUCACAUGAUUAAAGGUAUUCCGGUAGACGAUGGGGAUGCGUUCCAUUAGAUAGUAGGCGGGGUAACGGCCCACCUAGUCUUCGAUGGAUAGGGGUUCUGAGAGGAAGGUCCCCCACAUUGGAACUGAGACACGGUCCAAACUCCUACGGGAGGCAGCAGUGAGGAAUAUUGGGCAAUGGGCGAGAGCCUGAACCAGCCAAGUAGCGUGAAGGAUGACUGCCCUAUGGGUUGUAAACUUCUUUUAUAAAGGAAUAAAGUCGGGUAUGGAUACCCGUUUGCAUGUACUUUAUGAAUAAGGAGCGGCUAACUCCGUG
rnacentral:rRNA from 1 species